AAACGACUCUCGGCAACGGAUAUCUCGGCUCUCGCAUCGAUGAAGAACGUAGCGAAAUGCGAUACUUGGUGUGAAUUGCAGAAUCCCGUGAACCAUCGAGUCUUUGAACGCAAGUUGCGCCCGAAGCCACUAGGCUGAGGGCACGUCUGCCUGGGCGUCACACAUC
rnacentral:rRNA from 1 species